UUUGUGCAGAGCUAGCUUGUGCAAAUUAUGGAGAAACUGACAACCAAAAAAUGCAUUCCAUGUGCCAGCCUUGCCUGGACACAAGAUAUCUCUCAGUAUUUGAAUAUUCGUCAGUGAGAUGUCUGGUGCAUACAAGAUGGCCUAAAUUGGUGAGAAGGAAGGAUUCAGUCUGCAAAGACCCCAGCCAGCAGUGCCCAUGCUCGCUGGAAGGUUUUUGAGAGCUGCCGUCCAUAGAGUUUUUCUAGGUAGAAUGUACUCAGAAGUGGCUUACCAUUCUCUUCUUCAGUGGGCAUCGUGGGACUACGGCAGGCACCAGGAAUAGUGUGUCAUCUCCGUAUCUUAAAUUAUUGUUGUUGUUUCCACCAGUUUCAUCCUUCAUCUGAAUCUAAUCCAGC